GAACCCCAGACGAGCAUCAGGCCAGGUGCGGUGAGUUUAUCCUGACAGCCCAGCCGCCAGCUGACGGGGGUUGCUAAUGGGGGCUUCUCCCCGAAGGUGGAAAGCCAGCCCUGGAGUGAGGACGUGACACCCCGCCCCCGCCGAUGGCAGAAAGGCACUUGAUAAACUCCCUUGAGCCAGGAGAAAACUACAGAAGCCAGACCACACAGAGUGGACCUUUGGAGCUCAGUUGCGUGAAUGAACCUGCUGUGUGGCCUUCGGAAAACCACCUAACAUCUCUGUGCUGUAUCCUCCUUUAUGCUAAAGCAUUACCGAGGCUUCCACCUGCACCAGCUUUCUCUGCCACUGCAAUUUGACCCGAGACUGACCAAAUCAUAAAUGCAUAGUUAAUGGGACAAAAAUUUGUGAGAAUUAGGAAUUCUGCUCAUUAACCCCAUGUCACCAUCUGCUGGAGCAGUGUGAUGAGAGGGCCAGAAACACCUGAAGAGAGACAAAGACAUCCUAGGUGCCCCAGAAAAACUAAGAAGAUGGUCACGAAGGCAUAUGCCGGAGCAGCCCA